rnacentral:tRNA from 1 species
UGGGGCGUCGUUCAACUGGCAGGACCCAGGACUUUGGAUCCUGUUAUGAAGGUUCGAUUCCUUCCGCCCCAG